UCAAGAUACAACAGGUAAGUAUAUUAUUUUGUAUACAAACUGCAUAUUUCCCAUCACCUAAUGAACAACCACAAUACCAGUCUGGUGUUAAGCUUUCUGUGCUGUAUUGACGUAUCCUGAAAAUGGCAUCUGCUUUAGAUUGAACGGUCAUAUCUCAGUUAUUGUUUUCAUAUCUACAAAAAAUAAGCUUUUGUCUUUACUUUCAGAGUGCGGGCUGAUCAAGGGGUCGAAAAUGUAGAUAUUGCAUUGUCCGAGGAACAGGCCAUGGAAGCUAUAUUGCUGGCAAAAGUGUCCAUAACCAGAGUUUUGGAGGAAGAAGGAUACCUUGACCUGUCGAAUUCUAUCCACUUCUUCUGUGUGGGAUAUGUGUUCCUAUCUCGUCUGUGGGCAGAUCUGCAGCAUUUCACACGACCAUUCCUAUACAUGAAGUGUGGUGCAGUGGCCUCAGGGAGAAGAUAGCCUACCCCUACAGUAGAUGGAGGAUCAGCAAGUUUACCGACCACCUACAAAGGUACCCUAUAUAAACAAACUGACCUUAGAUCAAUGCUUUCAGGCAACUUAGCUGGUGUAUUGACAUUUUACAUCACUAGAUGAGAGAUGGGGUUGCAUCCAAAAUGUCACCCUAUUCCCCAUAAAUGAUAUGGUGUACUACUAUUGAUCAAAGCUAUAGCUAAAAGUAGUGCACUAUAGGAAUAGGGUGCCAUUUGGGAUGCAGAUAGGGAGUGAAAGGACUUGUGGUGCCAGAUGUCGCUCAGUACCUGUGAGCCCACAAAC